GAUGCCUCCACGGGUGCUCACAAAGUCCAGAGCUCCAUAAAGAAACAGGCACAGUGGGAGGCAUUGUAUUCAAUCCCAGCCACGGUGUGAUGCUGGACAGAGGAAGUGGCUAGCUUACGCAGGGAAGCUCUAGGCCUAUGUGAGACACUGAUCCAAACAAAAGGUGGGACUUGGGGACUUACGCCGAGGUUGUCCUCUGGACUCCACAUGAGCUGGUCCACGCCCUCAUCCAUGUUUGCAUACACCAAGAGUGGUCACCCACUGUACAGCAGAGGCUCUUCACAGAGGAUGGGGUCGGUGUUUUGCUAUCACGCCUUCUGUCUACAUCUCUCACAAGGAAGAGUGUCUCCGAAAGGCCACGUCAGAACUGAACCUGUGACCCAGGACCACCGUACUGGCUGCUUAUGGAUGCCGUCUUCCUUUCUUUCCCCAGACACAACUGCUACUAAUUUCUCUCCUGAUUUGCUGUCUACUGUUGUGACAAAACAUUGAUCACAACCAGGGUUGAUUUUUUAUCUCACACAUCCAAAUAGCAGUCAAUCACUGAAGGAGGGUAGGGCAGGAACCCAAGGCAGGAACCUGGAG
rnacentral:lncRNA from 1 species